ensembl:lncRNA
CUUAACGGGAGUGGUUUGUUACACAGCCAUGCGUAACAGAUAUUGACUUUGAAACAUUUGCCAGUCUUAUGUGUAUGAGGUAUGGCAUCUUGUUUCUCUCAUCUACAUUUCCUGGCUACUAAUUCCACCUGUACGUGAUAUCAUAUGAUAUUUGUCUUUGUCUGACUUCGCUUAGUAUGAUCAUCUCCAGGCUCGUCCAUGUUGCUGCACACGACUGCUAUGACUGAGUAGUAUUCCACUGUGUGCAGACUAAUGUUGGAAAGUCUUUGUAUUUUGGAAGGCAUUCUCAAAAUGUAAAUGCUUUGGAGGCUGUGGAAACAGACAUAUGUAUAUGAAAGUAAAAUCAGGAGCGCUUAGAAGCUGGAUAAGUAAAGAGAAUGAGAAAGCCAGCAAUAAGUGCCAAAUUACUUUUUAAAUCUAGAAAUCGAUCAUGUCACUUUCUCAGCUUAAAAUGUUUCUGUGGUUCUCUAUCACACUAAGAAUAAAUUCAAAACUCCUUACCCUGGCCCUGUGUGACUUGAAACUGCCUUUGCAAUCUUACCUUACUAUCUAACUCUCUUAUGACGAUACGAUCAGUCAGAUGGCCUUCUCGCCACACUUCUCACACCAGUAGGGUUUGUGCGCUCGCUUUGUCCUCUGCUGGGUAAUGCUUUUCCAGAAUGUAAACAAGUCUGCUCAAAAUGGAGGACUAAACAGAUGCAGACUAUGCCCCAAGUUUAAAAACACAGAGCCAAACCUAAAAACAAAAGACAGUGUUCCCG